CAAAUUGAUAGUUUAUAAAAAAUUUUAUUUUUGGGGAAUAAAGAACUAAAUUAUUUUAGUCAUUUGA
rnacentral:tRNA from 1 species